AGCAGCCGCGGUAAUUCCAGCUCCAAUAGCGUAUAUUAAAGUUGCUGCAGUUAAAAAGCUCGUAGUUGAAUUUCGGGACCAAUAUGUCGGUCGUGCUUCGGUACGUACUGGCAUCGUUGGUUUCUCCCUUCUGACGAACCAUGAUGUCAUUUAUUUGGUGUCGUGGGGAAUCAGGACUGUUACUUUGAAAAAUUAGAGUGUUUAAAGCAGGCUCACGCUUGAAUACAUUAGCAUGGAAUAAUGAAAUAGGACGUUUGAUUCUAUUUUGUUGGUUUCUAGGAUCGACGUGAUGAUUAAUAGGGAUAGUUGGGGGCAUUAGUAUUCAACUGU
rnacentral:rRNA from 1 species